UUGUCUCAACAUCUUCGUCGGUAUUCUGAACUUCUUGCAAAAAUUGUUUAAACAAACUUAGAUCACAUUUUGUCUUUCGUUUUGUAUUGUCGUUCUUGUUUUCCUCGAUAAAACUGUCGACAUCAACCGACACGAACCUCGAGUCGGCCAUCUUUGUUUUGACAAGGCGCGAAAUCUAGCGGGACAAAAAACGAUAUCCGGGACAAAAAAGAUAUCAGGGAUAAAAAAACGAUAUCCGGGACGAUAUCGUUUCUAUGUCCCGCUGCUUCCUACCUGAUAAAGGUACAAG